UUUAUAUACUCAUGCACAACCCAUGUUUCCACCACUUGUGCCUCUCAAACCACCACCAACUCCGUAAUUCUUACAUCCUCCAAUUUUUUCAGAUGAUCUCCGCGGAGCCCCUCCACUCCCGCUCCGACUCCGACUCCGACGAGAUGGGGUCCAGCGCGCGGAUAUCCUUCUCGUCGGAGUUUCUCGACGAGAGCAACUUCAUCACCAUAUGCCCCAACCCCGAGGCGGAGCGGGAGGAGCGGGAGGCCGCGGAGCGGGGGCGGGCCCCGCGGCCGGGCGUUGACUUCGAGUUCCUCUCGGGGAACCUGACGAGCAUGAUCGCGGC
rnacentral:lncRNA from 1 species